AGAUUGAACGCUGGCGGCAGGCCUAACACAUGCAAGUCGAGCGGCAGCACGGGUACUUGUACCUGGUGGCGAGCGGCGGACGGGUGAGUAAUGCCUAGGAAUCUGCCUGGUAGUGGGGGAUAACGCUCGGAAACGGACGCUAAUACCGCAUACGUCCUACGGGAGAAAGCAGGGGACCUUCGGGCCUUGCGCUAUCAGAUGAGCCUAGGUCGGAUUAGCUAGUUGGUGGGGUAAUGGCUCACCAAGGCGACGAUCCGUAACUGGUCUGAGAGGAUGAUCAGUCACACUGGAACUGAGACACGGUCCAGACUCCUACGGAGGCAGCAGUGGGGAAUAUUGGACAAUGGGCGAAAGCCUGAUCCAGCCAUGCCGCGUGUGUGAAGAGGUCUUCGGAUUGAAAGCACUUUAAGUGGAGAAGGCAGUUACCUAAUACGUAUCUGUUUGACGUUACGACAGAAUAAGCACCGG
rnacentral:rRNA from 1 species